rnacentral:rRNA from 1 species
UACAGAGGGUGCGAGCGUUGUCCGGAAUCACUGGGCGUAAAGGGCGCGUAGGUGGCGACCCAAGUCAAUGGUGAAAGCUCGAUGCUCAACAUCGAGUCGGCCACUGAUACUGGGUUGCUUGAGCACUGUAGAGGCUAAUGGAAUUCCGGGUGUAGCGGUGGAAUGCGUAGAUAUCCGGAGGAACACCGGUGGCGAAGGCGGCUUCCUGGACCGACACUGACGCUGAGGCGCGAAAGCUAGGGGAGCAAACGGG